rnacentral:rRNA from 1 species
AGGCGCGAAAACUCCGCAAUGCGCGAAAGCGCGACGGGGUUACCCUGAGUGCUACCUGCUGAAGGUAGCUUUUGCCUAGUGUAAAUAGCUAGGCGAAUAAGGGGAGGGCAAGUCUGGUGUCAGCCGCCGCGGUAAUACCAGCUCCCCGAGUGAUAGGGACGGUUAUUUAGCCUAAAGCGUCCGUAGCCGGCUUGGUAAGUUCUCAGUUAAAUCUGGCGAUUCAAUCGUCAGGCUGCUGGGAAUACUGCUAAGCUAGGGGGCGGGAGAGGCUAACGGUAUUCUCGGAGUAGGGGCGAAAUCCUAUAAUUCCGAGAGGACCACCUGUGGCGAAGGCGGUUAGCUAGAACGCGCUCGACGGUGAGGGACGAAAGCUGGGGGAGCGAACCGGAUUAGAUACCCGGGUAGUCCCAGCUGUAAACGAUGCGGGCUAGGUGUUGGGGCAACUACGAGUUGCCCCAGUGUCGCAGGGAAGCCGUUAAGCCCGCCGCUUGGGAAGUACGGUCGCAAGACUGAAACUUAAAGGAAUUGGCGGGGGAGGAC